rnacentral:rRNA from 1 species
GUAGUCAUAUGCUUGUCUCAAAGAUUAAGCCAUGCAUGUCUAAGUAUAAGCAACUUGUACAGUGAAACUGCGAAUGGCUCAUUAAAUCAGUUAUCGUUUAUUUGAUAAUCCCUUACUACAUGGAUACCUGUGGUAAUUCUAGAGCUAAUACAUGCUUCAAGGAGUGGCUUUUGUCACUCUGCACUUAUUAGAUAAAAAACCAAUGCCCCUUUGGGGCUCCUUGGUGAUUCAUAAUAAUUUAGCGGACCGCAUUCCCUCGAGGAGGCGGUGGAUCAUUCAAAUUUCUGCCCUAUCAACUUUCGAUGGUAGGAUAGUGGCCUACCAUGGUUUCAACGGGUAACGGGGAAU